rnacentral:tRNA from 1 species
UCCUUGGUGGCUCACAUGGUAAAGCAUCUGCCUGCAAUGCGGGAGACCCAGGUUCGAUCCCUGGGUUGGGAA